rnacentral:tRNA from 1 species
GCUCUCAUAGCUCAACGGAUAGAGCACGGGCCUCCGGAGCUCGGGAUAGAGGUUCGAAUCCUCUUGGGAGCACCA